AAAAUAAAAAUAAAAAAACUCCGUUGCCGGGACUCGAACCCGGG
rnacentral:sRNA from 1 species